rnacentral:rRNA from 1 species
GUGGGGAAUAUUGGACAAUGGGCGAAAGCCUGAUCCAGCCAUGCCGCGUGUGUGAAGAAGGUCUUCGGAUUGUAAAGCACUUUAAGUUGGGAGGAAGGGCAGUAAGUUAAUACCUUGCUGUUUUGACGUUACCGACAGAAUAAGCACCGGCUAACUUCGUGCCAGCAGCCGCGGUAAUACGAAGGGUGCAAGCGUUAAUCGGAAUUACUGGGCGUAAAGCGCGCGUAGGUGGUUCAGCAAGUUGGAGGUGAAAUCCCCGGGCUCAACCUGGGAACUGCCUCCAAAACUACGGGGCUAGAGUACGGUAGAGGGUAGUGGAAUUUCCUGUGUAGCGGUGAAAUGCGUAGAUAUAGGAAGGAACACCAGUGGCGAAGGCGACUACCUGGACUGAUACUGACACUGAGGUGCGAAAGCGUGGGGAGCAAACAGGAUUAGAUACCCGGGUAGUCC